CAUAUCAAUAAGCGGAGGAAAAGAAACUAACAAGGAUUCCCCCUAGUAACUGCGAGUGAAGCGGGAAAAGCUCAAAUUUAAAAUCUGGCAGUCUUUGAUUGUCCGAGUUGUAAUCUAGAGAAGUGCUAUCCGCGCUGGACCGUGUACAAGUCUCCUGGAAUGGAGCGUCAUAGAGGGUGAGAAUCCCGUCUUUGACACGGACUACCAGGGCUUUGUGAUGUGCUCUCAAAGAGUCGAGUUGUUUGGGAAUGCAGCUCAAAAUGGGUGGUAAAUUCCAUCUAAAGCUAAAUAUUGGCGAGAGACCGAUAGCGAACAAGUACCGUGAGGGAAAGAUGAAAAGAACUUUGGAAAGAGAGUUAAACAGUACGUGAAAUUGCUGAAAGGGAAACGCUUGAAGUCAGUCGCGUUGUCCAGGGAUCAACCUUGCUUUUGCUUGGUGCACUUUCUGGUUGACGGGUCAGCAUCAAUUUUGACUAUUGGAAAAAGAUUAGGGGAAUGUGGCAUCUUUGGAUGUGUUAUAGCCCUUGGUUGUAUACAAUAGUUGGGAUUGAGGAACUCAGCACGCCGCAAGGCCAGGUUUUUAACCAUGUACGUGCUUAGGAUGCUGGCAUAAUGGCUUUAAUCGACCCGUCUUGAAACACGGACCAAGGAGUCUAACAUGUCUGCGAGUGUUUGGGUGGAAAACCCGAGCGCGUAAUGAAAGUGAAAGUUGAGAUCCCUGUCGUGGGGAGCAUCGACGCCCGGACCAGACCUUUUGUGACGGUUCCGCGGUAGAGCAUGUAUGUUGGGACCCGAAAGAUGGUGAACUAUGCCUGAAUAGGGUGAAGCCAGAGGAAACUCUGGUGGAGGCUCGUAGCGAUUCUGACGUGCAAAUCGAUCGUCAAAUUUGGGUAUAGGGGCGAAAGACUAAUCGAACCAUCUAGUAGCUGG
rnacentral:rRNA from 1 species